GAUGAACGCUAGCGGCAGGCUUAACACAUGCAAGUCGAACGGUAACAUGAGUGCUUGCACUUGAUGACGAGUGGCGCACGGGUGCGUAACGCGUAUGCAACUUACCCUAAACUGGAGAAUAGCCUUUAGAAAUGAAGAAUAAUACUCCAUAGUAUUCCGAGAAGGCAUCUUCUUGGUCUUAAAGCUUCGGCGGUUUAGGAUAGGCAUGCGUUCUAUUAGUUAGUUGGUAAGGUAACGGCUUACCAAGACCACGAUAGAUAGGGGGCCUGAGAGGGUUGUCCCCCACACUGGUACUGAGACACGGACCAG
rnacentral:rRNA from 1 species